CGUUUCCUUCCGCCAGCUGUGCUUUGUCAUCGUCCCUUCGUCGACGCUUCUCGCGCUUCUCCAGCGUCGCCUCGACCGCACGCUUGGACGACGAUCGCAGUGACGUCGCGUCGGCGCGGCGCGCCGCGUCCGCGUCUCGCAUGACGCCGAAGCUUACGACGACAUGGAGCGGCACAAAGUGCCGCGUCGCGCGCAAAAGUUUUCUCUCUUCGCUCGCGCGCGCGGGACGCGCGCGACGCGCGCGACGCGCGCGAGAUAUUUUUCUGCGCGCGCUCAAGUCUCGCGCGUCGUUCUCACGCGCGCGCGCGCUCGGGAAGGCUUGGAUUGGAGACUCUCGUCGGUUCGCGUCGCCGAAGUCGCGACGACGAGCGAGCGUCGACGUCGAUCGAACGGUUUUCGCCGCGCCGCGCCGCGCG
rnacentral:lncRNA from 1 species